rnacentral:rRNA from 1 species
UACGUAGGGUGCGAGCGUUGUCCGGAAUUAUUGGGCGUAAAGGGCUCGUAGGCGGUUUGUCGCGUCGGGAGUGAAAUCCUACGGCUUAACUGUGGGCUUGCUUUCGAUACGGGCAGACUAGAGGUAUGCAGGGGAGAACGGAAUUCCUGGUGUAGCGGUGAAAUGCGCAGAUAUCAGGAGGAACACCGAUGGCGAAGGCAGGUCUCUGGGCCAUUACUGACACUGAGAAGCGAAAGCAUGGGGAGCGAACAGG